AUAUGUUUUCAACUAUUCCUAAAUUCUUCUCACUCGCAUGCAACCCUGUGCUCUGCGCGCUCGUUCAUAUGACACAUUCACUCUCUUUGGUAUGUCAGAACAGUCUAAUUGGAAGUUUUUUGUGCGAACAACGGCAUAUAACAUCGCUUUUCCUCACGUUGCUGAUGCGUGGUUAAUCAACCAAUCGACCAACUAACAAAACCGGAUAGUACCAAACAAACGCCCAACCAACCAUCACCAACACCACCACCAAAGCAUACUCCACGUCAAACAGUGUGUGUUUUAUAUGUUAAGUUCUACUGGAUUUUACGCCAAUCAAACUGUCAAACUAAGUGAUAGAAUUUGGCAAUAAUGUUGCCGCUAGAAAGUUGAAAACGGCCGAUGUCAGACGUGUCGCUUUUGAAUGCUCAAAUCAAAUUCAAUGCAAAAUAAGCACGUCUGAUGACAAAUCUCUUCGCAGCAGCAGCGCAAAAAGCUAACGAACUUUGCGACAACGUUCGUCCGACAACAACAGGAACGGGAAUUUAGCAUAUAGCAGAGCGUAAAAUAUAAACAGCAUAUAUAGUACACGGAGAGGUAACACCCACGGGCACCUGCACACACACACACACACCAGCGCACAUAAAAAUCCAUAAGUGAGCGUACAGCUACGAAAACACCGACGCAUAGUACCCACACGCACGUCCACCUAUCCUUCAUAUCGACACGCACGCACGCACGCUUGCAUCCUAAAGGCCAACAAAUCAGCUAUAUUGUUGCUAUUGUAACUACUAGUGAUAAGAAAGAACGCACAAAGUGGCAGAGACCGAAAACGUAAGAAGUGAAAUAGUCAAAGCAGCAGGAAGAGUCAGUCAGUCGGAGAGCACGUAUUAGUAUAAAUAAGCCUAGCGUAUAAGGCAGCGUCACACACACCUAGUUGAUUAAUUAAUUUAUUGUACGACAUAUAUUUAGUAAGCGUGAACACUUUUGCAUACUUUGCCACACGUAGUAGGUGUGCGAGAUAGGUACCUGUACAUUUUCUCUCAGCUUGCCAAAAAGAAUAAUAACAACAAGAAAAAAAAUAUCAAAAAACGACAACCAGAUUCCCUGCGUGUGUUUUGCGGGUUGCCUGUCAGUGAAUAUUUAAGCAAAUAUCAUGACAUCAUACGCAACCGUCAAUGAUUCUAACAACGCGGCAACAGCAACAACAACAAGCACAAUGGACAAUACAAAUGUGGCCAACGCCGCAACAACGUUAGCAGCGUCAGACACAAUGGCAGGUGGUGCGGAGAAUGUCGAUGGCACGCGCAACUUUCACACAACUAUCGACCGUUGCGCGCCUUAUGAAAGUCCAACAACACCAACUACAUACGAUUGCGAUGUACCGCGGAAAUUGGGCGAGCAACAACAACAACAACAGCAGUUGCAAGAUCAACAAUUGCUAUUGUUGGAUACACCGACAAGCAAUUGUUGCACCGACUAUGAGUGUGAUUCGUUUUCGGAUGGGCAUGAGAAGACCGAUACAACACCGGAAAAUUUGAAGAAGAUUGAUGAUGUCAUUGAGCAGCAAGCGCAGCUGCAACAGUUAAAAAACCGCUCAUCCUCCUCGCAUUAUCUUAGUAAUACACAACAAGCAGCGGCAACUAAUGCUGCUAACGCUUACGAUCGCGAUAUUGUUGGUGCUGGUUAUGGUGUGGGGCUGGCUGUGGCGGUUGAUGACUCAAAUGCAAAAUUUUGCUUUGGCAAACCGCUUUGCAAUGAAAAAGAUAUGUUGAGCAAAAGCGAACGCAUAGAAAGCCACAGCCACAUCCAUGGCCACAGCAUCGACUGUUCGACAGUCGAUUUGGGCAAAAGUAGACGCGUUGCCGACGGUAACGGCAGUGACAGCGGUUGCGUUACACCGUCCACUAUGUCGGAGCUGAAUGCGGCGACGCUGCUCGCCAGCGGUGCAGACAAUAGCGAGUCGUUGCCGCAUGACGAUGAUUCAUCCGCAUCUAACGCAACAAAUACUACCACAACAGCUACAGCUAAUAAGCAAUCGUAUGCUUUUACAAUUGACAAUUUUAACGAUAGUGGUUGUGAUCCUGAAGCAGCUAAGGCGCGCUACAAGAGCAUGAUGGAACGUUUUCAGAGUCGCCAUCGACGCGGUGCAUCCAUGUCGAAGCUGGAGGCUGGCGAUGUGGCGGCCAACAAGGAAACCACAAUGACUAGUUCCGUGUCAGCCACACCGUUGAGUGGCAGCGCCAGCGCCAACACACGUCACGCGCGCCAAAGUGGUGGCGCAGCUGAUAACUCCUUCGAUAGUGGCGGCGGCGGCGCUGAUGUGCCGAAGGUGAAGCUGCGUGUGCGCGAUCGCAGCACAUCACGCGUACGCGACGCCAGCAAGCGGCACAGUUGGUCACCGCGUUCCAGCACACAGGAGUCACAAUUGCACGCGCACGCUGGUCAGCAUGCCGUCGCGCAAACGCCAACAGCGCCGCGCACCAACCACCACGGAGCAAAUGAGCGCGCGCAUGCGGCGCAGAAGCCCUUACCGCCGACGCGCAAGAACGUCAGCAAGCAGAAACCACCGCCGCUGCAGCUGCCCAAAGGUGCUGCCAACCUAGUCGCGAAUCGUACGCAAUUCACGCCGCGCUCGACGGCUAUGCAGUUGGCGUUGCAGAAAGUGGACUUUCUGUGCGCGCAACCACCGCUCGCCGAGCUGAAGAAUUACAAUUUGGAGGCGGAUAAUAUCAGUGAAACCGGCACCUACACGCUGGAUGGCGAUAACUACACGGAGGAGCAGAAGGAUCUUAUGAACAUCGACAAGAGCGCACAGCAAGCGUUGAAAGCACAGCAACAACGCCCGAAGAAUUUGCAAUUGAGCAGCAGUGUGGUGGAUGUGGACGCACAGCUGAGCAAUACGAAAAUCCCAGUGCAUGUGAACAAUCGCUCGAAUGUGCUCGAGGUGAAUUACUAUCACGACGCCGAAGCGGAUCCGCAGUGUCCGCAAUCGCCGCGCGCUUACAACGAGCGCGAUCUCAUUUUGGGUACGCAUGAGUCGGCGGGCGCAUAUUUGGAGAAGAUAAAGUCUCGCGUGCUGCGCAAUGCCUCCGCGACAAAGUCGGCGCCACCGCAGGUUGAAAUCGCGGAGAAGACACCCACUGAGGAUGACGGCGAUUUGGGUUGCUUCACGAGCGUGACAACCAGUGGCGUGCUCGCCAAGAAGAGCGCACUAGAUCCACGUCCGCGUUUGACGCGUAAAUCCGGCUUGUCCACGUCACAAAUUGACUCAUCCGAGUAUGUGAGCAAUGAGAUGAAGUUGAAGGCGAAUACCGCGAGCGCGUACUCGGGUGGUGGUUUCACUGAUCAUCAGAAAGCUGAAUACCGUUUGAAUCUGUUCACCAAUCAGAAGGACAGCAACAGAGAGAAAUUUGCGGCGACACGCAGUUACAUAGAAUCACCACCGGACACGCCCACACACCAGAAACUGUCCGAUGCAGCGGUGUUGAAGACGGCACAAACGAAAAACGAUUGGAUACAGGAGUGGGCACGCAAUGCACGAGCACGCAGCCUCGCCUCAGACACGUCCAAAACGCGCAUUCACCCGGAUGCGUCGCAAUCGGCGUUGAUGACGCGCAGCUACACGUGCGCUUCCGAUACAGCUGCCGGUGGUGAUUCGCUCACCGACGAUAGCAUUUACAAUAGCAAACAGUGCAUCAGCGCUGCCAAGCUGAAUCGCAGUCUUGCCGAGCGUUAUCGCUUGUCGGGCGAAUGUGACUACUCGAGCGACCCGACGUUGUCGAGCGGCGCGUACAGCAGCGGUGGACAGCCGGCCGAGGGCAUUUGCAAGCCACCAAAGAGUCCUUCGAAAAUACCCUCACCGCUGCAUUCAAUUGGACGUGCGCGCAGUGCAAGUCGUACGCGUGCGCCGCUGCAGAAUGUGAUGUUACAGGGUGGUGUUGUUGGCGACGAAGAGGCGGAUAUCUAUUUGCAGAAGACAGCGGCUGCUAUUAACAAUCUACAGCAGUCGCUCUCGCGCAAGAAUUCCCUAAAAUCGCCGCCAACCACACAUUCUUCAGCGUCGCCACGUGCGCACUCGGCACGCUCGCAUGCUCAUUCCGCGGCGUUGUACUCGCCGCCAGACGACUGCGGCAGUCCACAGCACGGUUUGGGCUCGCCCACCUCUGCGGCCAGCGGCAGCGCUUACCAUCACUCACCGUUGCAUCGGCGCGUUGCCACGUCGCAAGAACCCUAUGGCAGCCGCAAUGCACAGCAUUUGCAGCUGAUGACGAGCAGCUUCAAUGAGCAGCAAUUGAAGUUGCUCACCAGCGGCGAAUACUUGGCGCGGCAAAUGCGUGCGCGCAAGAACUCCUUCGAUGGCAACAUCAGCAAUUCGCCAGCACGUCGCGCCGCCGUAGCAGCGGCCAAUGCGCAAGCGCAGGCUGCGCAAAGCGGUCAGGAGUCGCCAUUACGUCGUUCCAGUUCAUUAUCGGCGAAAAUAGCGACAACUCAGCGCGCGGCGCGUCCACAAUUCUCCAAUAUCUACACACCACCGGCUGCGCGACACAAUUAUUCGCUGGUUGGUGGCGGUGAUGGGCAGUCCGCAGCGGCGGCAGGGCAUAAAAAUGCUAGCAUAAUCAAAAAGUCGGCGAGCAGCAAUAAUUUCCGCCACGCGAUCGGUGAUUACGACGAAAAUUUCCAAUAUUAUAUAAACGAUGAGGAUGACAUGGGCGAAGAGUAUUAUUCGAGUGGUGCUGAGGAGGUCGAGGAAGAGGAGGAAGACGACAAUGACCACUACUAUCACCAGCACGACGAUGACGUGCAAGCGGAAGUGGAGAACACCGCUGCAGUGCCGCUGUCCAAUACGCGUUUGAAUAAGGCGCUACUCAUGCGUAUCGAACGCAGCAAGCAACGUGUAAGCGGCACUUCCGGCACGGCCAAGCCGUCGUCGGCGCCUGUGACGAAAUUGCAACAACAACAGCAAGCUGCCGGCUCUUGUGGCGUUAUGGCAUGCCCUAACACGCCCGAAUUGCCGCGUCGCGGCAUACGCAGCGCACCACGUUCGGGCGGCGCCACAACAACGCGACAAUCAGUGCCGCGUGACACCAGUCUCAGCCGUUUGGCAUCGCAGGUACCCAACUCGCUGGCCUCGGCCAAGAAGCAGCUACUGCAAACCGCCGCCGCUGUGCCAUCCACAACAACAAAGCUUGCGACAGGUCAGCGUGUGCAACCGAAGUAUUUGGACAUAUCGAAGUACAAGCCGGCGCAGGGCAAUAAUUUUCUACGCAAGAACGAUUCCAAGAGCACACUGAAAACGUCAGCACUGAGCGGUGACAUGAUGAAACGCAGUCCGAGCAGCUCAUCCAUGGGGCUGACGCGUGCGGAUCCGACACGCACCAGCAAUCGCAGUGUACGCUCGGUGGCCUCGUGCAUGACCACAAGCGGCACUACGCUUGGCGGUGGUGGUGGCGGUGGCGGCUACGGCAUGAGCGGUCGUGCCUCAUCAGCGGUGCGUAGAGACCAGUCGGUGACUAAACAAAAAGAGGCAGAAAUGGCCAUGUGGAAGCGACGCUCCACGUACGAUCCGAUGAAGGCGGCCGCCGAAGAUCGCCGCAAGAAAGAGGAAGCCAAACGUUUGGCGCUCGCCAAGAAUAUGGGCGAAAUGCCGUGCGAGAGGCCAUCUAGAUCUCCCUACCGUCGUGGACAAUUAUGACCGGAAGGGUUGCUCAUAACCGAUCUCUAAGCGUAACUACUGCAAAUAUGAGAAGAAGAAGAAGGGAAAAAUAAAACAAAUUUUUAAUAUUCCUAUUUGCCAUUGUUACCACCAACAACAACACAAAUUCCAUCCAAGUCAGUAAUCAUGAACACCAAAGCGACACCGACUCCUUGCAAAUUGUUGGCGUCGCGCAUGGCAAAAAAAAAACACCCGCAAGUGUUUAACGCUGAUUAUAACAAUUGAUUGAGUAAUUAGCGUCGCUAAUUAAACCAGUUAACGUUGAGUUGUGCGAGGUGCUAAAUGCAAGGAGUUUAGUGUGUCUUGAAGUGCAUGCAACGAAUUGAAAAAGAAAACAAAAACGAUAAAGUACACCCCAACACGCGAGGAAUGAAGCGUUGGGGGAAGCAACUACGCCUAACAAAUGUAAUAUUUAAAUGCAAAAAUAAAAAUAAAAAUAAACCAAAAUAAACUAAAAAUGCGACAAUACGAAAAAUAAUUAAAAAUAAACAACAACAAAUUAUCGAAUAAGCGAAGCGAGCCAGCGAAUCCAGCGAACGAGCGAAUUCGAAAACUAAGAACGUCAAUGCAGAGAGUGAGAGUGAUGUAGUGAAGGAGAAGAAGAAAUGAGAGUGAGAACGCGCGCAUUUGAGGAUAAGAAAACAGUUGCAGCAUACUUUUAGGCGCUUGCCAAAUAAAUUCACAAAUUUCGUGCACAUCAACGAACGAGUAAUUCCAAACAAAUCAAUCUACAAACUCAAUGCAACGGCAUGCUGCAACACGUACGCCACCGCCAUUCAAACAACAACUAUCGCUGGACGAACAAUGGACCGAGUAUGGUGAGGAAGAAUGCGUCUAAAGCGCAGUGGAGAGUAGAGGAGAGGAGCGGAGUUAGGGACCAGCGGACCAGCGUUCAUCAGUGAAGAGCAGCUAAUUUUAUGAGCGACGAACAAAUGCGUUUAGAAAGCUUUUGAAAAGUGAUACAUAGGAACUACUAUUAAAAAGAAAUUAUAUAAUUACAAUUUAUAAAAAAAACUAAAAACUAUUAUUAAUUAUUGUUAAACAAAACGAGAACAACUAUUGCUAAUAGUACUAUAAACUAUAUAAUUAUGCGAAUUGAAUGCGAUAACUAGUUGUUGCUGUGAAUUGAAGUGAAGUGAAGUUUGGCUGGCAUAAAUAUAUAUUCUAUAAUAUAUGUAUGUGCGCCUUCUGCGUUUAUGGUUAGUUAAAAAAAUACUGUAUUGACGGCAUAAAAAUGAAAAUGAUUUAAUUAUAUAUUUAAUAAUAACUUGUAUACAUACAUACUUAUACAUAUAUUAUAUGCAACUAUUUUGUGAAUGGCAUACACCAACAGAUGUUGUGUGUGUAUGCGUGAUAGUAAUAUAAACACACAAAAAGCAAAUUUAAAACUAAUUAAUUUAAAAAAAUAAAAAUUAUAUAUUUAUAUAUAUAGAUUUCAUUGCAGUAUAUCGAUGUAAACUGCAAUUUUUGUUUUUGUAUACUGAAAACUAGCAAAGCGUACAUAAGAAACAUGAAAAUGAAUGAAACACAGAACACUAUUGAAAAUACUCGGAUCAAAAUAUUGAUUUUGCAUUAAGUUACGACGCUGCUUUUAACUGUAAACUAAUAUUAUACGAAAAACACACAAACUAUGUGCAGUCGUGUUUUUGUUUGAUAAAUAUAAAUAUAAACAUAUAUUGACUUGAUGUAAUGAUGCAUGCGCAUGCGCAAAUGUGCGCAUAUGCGCUUAAAGCAAUUUAUAAACCUACUAUGUAUUUUUUACAUUACUGUAUAGGCGCUGUAAUAAUUUUGAUAAGUCGUUGCUUUAGUAUUUAAAAAACUAUAAAUGUAUAUAUAUAUACAUAAAUAUAUAUGAAUGAAUGAAUAAAUAAAUAAAUA